rnacentral:rRNA from 1 species
UACGUAGGGGGCAAGCGUUGUCCGGAAUUAUUGGGCGUAAAGAGCGUGUAGGCGGUCCGGUAAGUCAGCUGUGAAAGUCAAGGGCUCAACCCUUGAAAGCCGGUUAAUACUGUCGGGCUAGAGUCCGGAAGAGGCGAGUGGAAUUCCCGGUGUAGCGGUGAAAUGCGCAGAUAUCGGGAGGAACACCAAUGGCGAAGGCAGCUCGCUGGGACGGUACUGACGCUGAGACGCGAAAGCGUGGGGAGCAAACAGG